rnacentral:rRNA from 1 species
UCUUGAUCUCAAAUCAGGUAGGAUUACCCGCUGAACUUAA